CGUGCCUUCCUUCCCCUCAUCGCACAAGAAGACUCCAAGGGAAGCUAGCGCUCAUACCCACGCCCAUUACGUGCGGUCAAUCAUCACAGCUGCAGCAUCGCCGUCGCUCUUUGCAUCCUGGUGUCUUACCCAUUCCUUCUUAAGCACAUCCACGCUUACCCACGGCGGCUCUCUCGCCAUUUUCGUUCUAAGCAGGUGGUGUUUGGGGGAGGCGGGCGAUGCCGCUGCCAAGUCAGAACCAGCUGCACGGCUACUAUGUGGCGCGAUGUGGUUACCACGAAGUUCUCAGACCACAUCGAGCAGCACUGACGCUGCUGGCAGAGGACACUACAUCACAUGCAGAGAGGCUCGCCGGCGAAGCUAAGGAGCGAUGCGUGGCCAUAGCAGACCUAGAACAGAUCGAGAACAGAGAGGAGGGAGGGGCGCGCGCGUGUGAGCGGGCUGCUGUCAUUCCUCUUGCGACCCAGCGCACGUUUCGGCUUGCCGAGCCGUGUGGCACAGCCGCCCUCUCUCCGCUCUACAUUGGUGCGCGUGGUCUCCUGCCCAUACUAGACCUGAUUGCGGAGCUCCCACUCGUCGAAACGGUGGAUCUGUCAAAUGUGUCGUCUUGGUACGACAACGACACCUUCGCCGGCUUGUCGCAAGGCAGCGUUUCCGGCAAUGACGUAGUUGCCCACCUGUGCACUAUCCUUCCACGCCUGCGCUUCCUACACACCCUCGACUUGGGUGGCCAGCCGCUGGGUAGCAUCGCCGUCGCCCAUCUGCUGGAGACCAUCAGACAGUUGCCUACGGUGGUACGUGUGGACUUUGACACCACCAACGUUGAUCCGUACCUUCUCCGUGCCUUCCAGCAGACGUUGGAGGAGCACCAACGACGCCCACGCCCGCACAUGCCCACCACCAAAGCGGUGGCAAGGGCUUACGAGAUUCCGCUCUACAUUAAGGCACUUCCUCGACUGGAUCGAAAAACACUUCGCGAACAGCAGGUGCUGCGAGCUCUCCUCUCCGAGGACCCCAGCUUCGCGAGCGCGGUGACGGGUGUGGAGAUGGGCGACAUGGUGCUCACGGCGCGCGUGAUGAGCACGGCAGAGGCGGUCUUUCGGUGCGGGGACAAGGGCAUCCGCGGGGACGGGCAGCAUCUCUUCAUCCUCAAGAGUGGAACGUUGCGUGUGUACAGUGACCUCGAGGGCUUCGUGUUGUCACGCGGCGACUACUUUGGCGACUCGUACCCCUCCGUGCUGCUGCCGUGCUCGCGGCUGGAGGAAGAGGAACGGGGGGUUGUGUAUGCCAUACCACUUCGCUCGUCUACUACCGUUUUGGCCUACUGGGCAACUCGCCUGGCAGCCGCGUGGCCAUGGCUGCAUCAGAUUCCGAUCAUGCACGCUGUGGGGGCGUGGACGUGCAUGCGGGCAUGCACUUGCAGCGAGUUUGUCGUAUCGGAGCCGACAGACACGAUUAUCGAGGCGGGAGAUGGCGAAGAGGCAAUCUACGUGGUCUGCGACGGCUCUUUUUGCGCGCUGGACUCUCGCGGGGGUGACGCGGCGCGUUACAACGCUCGGAGCGUGCGAAGUGUGUUUACCCGCUUCGACGUCUUUGGCAUUGAGGCGCUCGUCGCCCGCAAGCGCCAAAACUCCGUCCGCAUCAAGGCGGGAAAAGAGAAAGGCCUGCCCUAUCGCACCUUGGCUGUGCGGGGUUGCGGUGUGCGGGUGCUUCACCGCCAACUGCGUCCCGUCUUCAUAUCGCUGGCUCGAGGCUACUCGCUGCACGAGGACCUCUGCGCCGGCGGCACUACAGGGUAAAGAGCGGAGCUGACCGCAGUGGGGCACCCAGAGGACCGUGUCUGCUGCUGCUUUCUCCUCGCUUUCCAGAGACUUGUUACUCAGAUGUACAGUAGCGGCGCUGGAUUUCUUUCGACUGUUCUUCUUCGUCUUACAUGCUUGUGUGUCUAUGGGGGCAUUCGCGUCCGUCGCUGAGGUCGUCACGACGACGAGGGGUGGCCGCACGCCUCACCGAUACCGUUGCCGCUCGCAACCGGCCACUGGUGAGCAAUGCGCACCGCCGUGCACAAGCGAGACGAG
rnacentral:misc_RNA from 1 species